AUGGGCUCCUCACUCAUUUUCCUUCUACUAGGUUUAGACAUGGCCUUUACAAGUUUGUCUUACAAUCAUUCCACUGCACAUGAGGCCCAUGCACUGCUAACAGCCAUUACAGUGACAGUAAUGUCAAAUGUCAUGGAGCUGGUUCUGUCAGUAGAACUCCAGGAGCUUUGCCAUGGGAAUACCAUCUUUACUCCUAGCAGUGGACUGGAAUGCCCUUGAAAUCCAUAGGAAUCAAUGAAGAUGAGAAAUUUCAGCCUGCAUCUUAUAUCAGAAGUGUUUUAGCAAUUAAUUGGCUGCAUACCUUUUAAGGAGGAAUCUGAAUGUAAGUUGUCCUGCUGCAGCCUUUGGAAAUGCACAAGUCUAUGGGGCCAGAUGGGAUCCACCCCAGAGAGAGCCAGUUGAAGUGCUCAGUGAACCACUUCCCAUCAUUACCAGAAUUUCUGGCUAACGUGGGAGGUUCCAGGAGGAAGGGCCAGGAGGAGGAUCCAGGGAACCAUAACCUGUCAAUCUGACCUUGGUGCCAGGGAAGGCCAUGGAGAAGAUCAUCUUGAGAGCCAUCACACAGCAAAUGUGCAGGGCAUAGGCCCAGCCAGUGUAAGUUCAUGACAGGCAGGUCCUGUUUGACCAACUGAUCUUCUUUGACAAGGAGCUUAGUGGAUGAGGGACAGACUGUGGCUGUCACCUGCCUGGACUUUCAUAAAGCCUCUGAUACCAUUUCCACAGCAUUGUCCUGUAGAAAGUAGCAGCCCAUGGCUGGCUGGGUGCAGAGUUUGCUGGGUAAAAAUUGUCUGUAUGACCUGGCCCAGAGAGUGAUGCUGAACAGAGCUACAUCCAGCUGGUGACUGGCCAUGAGUGAUGCCCACAAGACCCAGUUUUGGGGUCAGCCCAGUUUGAUACCCUUUUUGAUUAUCUGGAUGAGAGGACCAAGGGCAGCCCUUUGCAGAUGACACCACAGUGUGGCCAGCAGGCCCAGGGCCAGGAUCAUCCCCCUGUACUCGGCACUGGUGAGGCCAUGCCUCAAAUCCUGCAUCCAGUUCUGCGUCCCUCACUACAAGAAAAAUAUUGAGGUCAUGCAGGAAGUCCAGAGAAAGGCAAAAGACUGAGCACAAGUCUUAUGAGAAGUGGCUAAAGGAGCUGGGAUUGUUUACCCUGGAGAAAAGGAGGUUCAGGGGAGACCUUAUCACUCUUGAUAAGUCCCUGAAAGAAGAGUGUAGCCAAGUGGGGGCCAGCCUUUUCUUCCAGGGAACAAGAGAAGGACAAGAGAAGAUGGCCUCCAGUUGCUGCAGGCAAGGUUUUGACUAGAUACCAGGAGAAAUUUCUUCAUGGAAAGGGUUGUCAAGUAUUGGGAUAAGUUGUUGAGGGAAGUGGUGGAGUCACCAUCCCUGCAGAUAUUUAAAAGACAUGUACACGUGACACGUAGGAACAUGGUUUGGCAGUGGACUUGGCAAUGCUGGUUUAAAGGUCAGACUCAAUGAUCUUAGAGGUCCUUCCCUAUUUAAAUGAUUUUAUUCUAUUCCAUGGCCUGCAGCAGAUUUGCUCUGGAUGCUGGUAGAAUAGUACCACUAUUCCUGGGAUGGCUCUGAGCUGAUUCUCUCUGUAAAAACAUAGAGCUUACCAUUCCUGGCACAGUGCCAGGCUAAUAAAAAAAAAAAAAAGCCUGAGUCA
rnacentral:lncRNA from 1 species